rnacentral:rRNA from 1 species
AACCAACAGGGAUUACCUCAGUAACGGCGAGUGAAGCGGUAACAGCUCAAAUUUGAAAUCUGGCCUCACGGUCCGAGUUGUAAUUUGUAGAGGAUGCUUCGAGCAUGGUCUGGCCUAAGUUCCUUGGAACAGGACGUCAUAGAGGGUGAGAAUCCCGUAUGCGGCCAGGUGCCUACGCUCAUGUGAAGCUCCUUCGACGAGUCGAGUUGUUUGGGAAUGCAGCUCAAAAUGGGUGGUAAAUUUCAUCUAAAGCUAAAUAUUGGCCAGAGACCGAUAGCGCACAAGUAGAGUGAUCGAAAGAUGAAAAGCACUUUGGAAAGAGAGUUAAACAGUACGUGAAAUUGUUGAAAGGGAAGCGCUUGCAACCAGACUUGCGCGCGGCCGAUCAUCCGGUGUUCUCACCGGUGCACUCGGCCGUGCUCAGGCCAGCAUCGGUUUUGGCGGCUGGAUAAAGGCCCUAGGAAUGUAGCUCCUCUCGGGGAGUGUUAUAGUCUAGGGUGCAAUGCAGCCUGCUGGGACCGAGGACCGCGCUUCGGCUAGGAUGCUGGCGUAAUGGUUGUAAGCGG